UCAAGCGAACAAGGGCAUACGGCGGAUGCCUAGGCGUUUCGAAACGAAGAAGGACGCGAUAAGCUGCGAUAAGCCAUGACGAGCUGCAAGUAAGCCUUGACUCAUGGAUUUCCGAAUGGGGCAACCCGGCAAGAGUAACGUCUUGUCACCCUACCCUAGAGGUAGGGAGAAAACACCCGAUGAACUGAAACAUCUAAGUAGUCGGAGGAAAAGAAAUCAAAGAGAUUCCCUGAGUAGCGGCGAGCGAAACGGGAGGAGCCCAAACCUGAGGACUUCGGUUCUUGGGGGUUGCGGACCUGCAACAAGACAUAAGCUUUAGUGGAAGCAUCUGGGAAGGUGCGGCAAAGAGAGUGAGACCCUCGUACACGAAAGAGUGAAAGGCGGGCAGGAAUCCAGAGUACCACAGGGCACGAGGAACCCGGUGGGAAGCAGGGUGGACCACCAUCCAAGGCUAAAUACAUCGAAACGACCGAUAGCGAUGAGUACCGUGAGGGAAAGGUGAAAAGAACCCCGGGAGGGGAGUGCAAUAGAACCUGAAACCGUAUGUCUACAAACAGUCGGAGCACUUUACAUGUGCGACGGCGUGCCUAUUGAAGAAUGAACCGGCGAGUUAAUUUAUGCUGCGAGGUUAAGCGGGAGACGCGGAGCCGAAGCGAAAGCGAGUCUUAAGAGGGCGGAAGUAGCAUGGAUUAGACCCGAAACCACAGUGAUCUAUGCAUGUCCAGGUUGAAGCUCAGGUAAAAAUGAGUGGAGGACCGAACCCGUGCGUGUUGAAAAACGUUGGGAUGAGGUGUGCAUAGGGGUGAAAUGCCAAUCGAACGUGGAGAUAGCUGGUUCUCCCCGAAAUAGCUUUAGGGCUAGCCUCAGGCGAAUAACCAUAGAGACGGUAGAGCACUGAUCGGGCAAGGGGGCGUAAAGCCUACCGACCCCAGUCAAACUACGAAUGGCUCAUAUGGGCAGCCUGGGAGUCAGAAUGCGAGUGAUAAGACCCGUAUUCAAGAGGGAAACAGCCCAGACCGCCGGCUAAGGUCCCAAAUGCUGUGCUAAGUGGAGAAGGAUGUAGGACUUCGAAAACAACCAGGAUGUUGGCUCAGAAGCAGCCACCAUUAAAAGAGUGCGUAAUAGCUCACUGGUCGAGAGGCCCUGCGCCGAAAAUAUCCGGGGCUCAAGCACAGAACCGAAGCCGCGGCAGGGUGUACUACGGUACACACUGGGUAGGGGAGCGUUCUUAUCUGGACGAAGGCAGACCGGAAGGACUGCUGGACGGGUAAGAAGUGAGAAUGCCGGUAUGAGUAGCGAAACGACAGGUGAGAAUCCUGUCCACCGAAAGCCUAAGGAAUCCCGGGCAACGCUCGUCGUCCCGGGGUAAGUCGGGACCUAAGCCGAGGCGAAAAGCAUAGGCGAUGGACAACUGGCGAAAAUUCCAGUACCGGGCGACUUCGUUUGAGGAUGGAGUGACGCAGGAAGGAAGCUGAGCGCGCGACUGGUAGAGCGCGUCGAAGGCGGUAGGCUGGUAUGGAGGCAAAUCCCCAUACCGUAAAGGCCGAGAACCGAUAGAUAGGAAGGGCUACGGCCCGACUGAAUUCAGCCGCACUAAACUGCCAAGAAAAGCUUCUAACGAGAAGUCGUCCGCCCGUACCAAAACCGACACAGGUAGGCGGGGAGAGAAUCCUAAGGUGCGCGGGAAAACCCUCGUUAAGGAACUCGGCAAAAUGCAUCCGUAACUUCGGGAAAAGGAUGGCCGUUGAUGGUGAAGGUGUUUACCACCGGAGCUGUUGACGGCGGCAGAAAAGAGGCCCAAGCGACUGUUUACCACAAACACAGGUGCCUGCGAAAGCGCAAGCUGAAGUAUAGGUGCUGACGCCUGCCCGGUGCAGGAAGGUUAAGGAGAGUUGUUAGUCCUAGAGAUGAAGCAGCGAACUGAAGCCCCUGUAAACGGCGGCCGUAACUAUAACGGUCCUAAGGUAGCGAAAUUCCUUGUCGGGU
rnacentral:rRNA from 1 species